CCAUCUUACUUUACGGUUUUGUUUACAUGUGGGAAGAUGUCAUUGUGAAAUUUUUACGAUUUUCCAGUGUUUUUCGACCAUAUACGAGUGUAUUAAGUAUAAUUGAAACUAAUAAUAGGUACCAUGAAGUGUUCUAUAGUAGGUUGUGGCCUAUGCCAAAGCAAGAACAAGCCGAAUCUAACCUUUCACCGUUUACCAAGUAACGAAUCACUGCGGCGGCGAAAGGCAUGUUUGGAAAAGAUUGGCAUAGAAAAUAUCCGGCCAGGAAGUAAAAACAUUAAUGUGUGCUCAUUGCACUUUUAAGAGAGCGCAUUUAAUAAGACUUUAAACAUCGUUAGAUUGAGAGAUGAUGCUAUCCCAACAGUAUUUGCAAAGGCUUCAGCACUCGAAGAAUUAAAAAAAUUAGAAGAAAAAGUGGAGAAACAGAAAAAGAAAAUUAAAUGUUUAAAUGAAGUUGAAAAUUGAAAAUUGAAACCUUUAAAAAUAUCAUUAUUGCAUUGAAGGAGAAGAAUUUAAUAAAUAUGGAGACAUCCAUAUUAUUACAGCAAUGUGCUGGAUCUCAUGAUUUUUUACAUAGGCACAGAUUUUAAAGUAUAAAGGAUUGCCUUUGACAAAACAGUA